rnacentral:misc_RNA from 1 species
GAUGAAGAACGUAGCGAAAUGCGAUAAGUAAUGUGAAUUGCAGAAUUCAGUGAAUCAUCGAAUCUUUGAACGCACAUUGCGCCCCUUGGUAUUCCGAGGGGCAUGCCCGUUCGAGCGUCAUUAUACCCCUCAAGCCUAGCUUGGGGUUGGGGCCUGCUGUUACCGGCAGCCCUUAAAAUCAGUGGCGGUGCCAUCUGGCUCUAAGCGUAGUAAUACUUCUCGCUACAGGGUCCCGGUGGAUGCUUGCCAUCAACCCCUAAUUUUCUAUGGUUGACCUCGGAUCGGGUAGGGAUACCCGCUGAACUUAAGCAUAUCAAUAAGCGGAGGA